rnacentral:tRNA from 1 species
GCCUGGGUGGCUCAGCCAGCUGGGCGCCUGACUUCAGCUCAGGUCACGAUCUCACAGUUCGUGGGUUCGAGCCCCACGUCAGGCU